rnacentral:lncRNA from 1 species
AUCCUGUGGGGCCACCUAAAAUGGAAAUUCCUUAUACAUAAAUAAAAAUUCUUAGUCACAAAGAAUAAAAAAGAUUCUAUUGUUACUGUCUCUGUAAUAUACGAUACUUGUAAAUUAUGCUUUAACUGCAAUCACAACUGUCUAUAAAAUAGCCCCUCUGUCAUUGAAUAUCGUUGAAAGUGAACACCAAUGUAACAGUCUUAAAUGUUUUCUACAGUCUAUAAUCGCUAGUUCAAUCGUAAAAAGUCCUUUUUCGUGCUAAUUCUGUGAAUUCGGAAUUUACUUUUGGCGGGAACGAAGAGAAUAAUGCGUUUUACUAUUUUCACUAUUUAGUCUUUGUAAUUCCAAAGGGUACAAUUUAACAAUUGGUCGGUUUGCUAUACCCGUGUCUGUUUUGAUGAUAGCAGUUCGUAUAUAAGUCUAACCUUUCCACGAAUCAAAUUCUUCACGACGGCUAACCUCCAUAUAAGUCUAUUAGAAUCGUUGUGAACUUGUACGCUGUCCUCUACUUCAAUAGUUUAAAUGUUAUUAACAGUUGCACGACGAAAUUCUCGUAAAGAUGUUAAAUGUUCAUUAUUC